rnacentral:rRNA from 1 species
AAAUAGCUCCUUAAUUGGGAGAUGGAAUGAACGGUAGUACUGACUAUAUUAUGAAGAAUUAUUUGUGAAUUUUUAGUCUCAAUGAAAAUAUUAAGAUGCUAUUUUUAGACAAAAAGACCCUAUGAAGCUUUAUAACUUGCAACACUUCUACAUGUCCCAAGGUUAUUUUUUUGGGGUAAAAGGUAAUAAUGGUAUUACAGCAUUUAAGUGAUAAACAUCCACAGGUGAAUUAAUAGUAAGCUCCUCUAGGGAUAACAGCAUAAUCUUAGCCGAGAGAUCCUAUUGAAGCUAGGGG